UUCGCAAUGCCCGAAAGGGUGACGAAGCGACGCCGCGUGGGUGAAGAAGGCCUUCGGGUUGUAAAGCCCUGUCAGGAGUUAUGAAAUGUAGGUGCGAUAAUACCGUGCCUAUUUGACAAAGGCUCCAAGGGAAGCCACGGCUAACUCUGUGCCAGCAGCCGCGGUAAUACAGAGGUGGCAAGCGUUGUUCGGAAUUAUUGGGCGUAAAGAGCACGUAGGUGGGUUUGUAAGUCAGAUGUGAAAGCCUUCUGUUCAACGGAAGAAUUGCAUCUGAAACUGCGAGUCUUGAGUGUAGGAGGGGAGAAUGGAACUUCUGGUGGAGCGGUGAAAUGCGUAGAUAUCAGAAGGAACGCCGGCGGCGAAAGCGAUUCUCUGGCCUAUUACUGACACUGAGUGUGCGAAAGCUAGGGGAGCAGACGGGAUUAGAUACCCCGGUAGUCCUAGCCGUAAACGAUGGGCACUAAGUAGAGGGGUUUU
rnacentral:rRNA from 1 species